GAGAAAGACCUCUGAGGUAAUAAGUUCUGCUAAUCCUUAUAUCCGGGGUUAAAAUCCCCGGCUUCCUCA
rnacentral:tRNA from 1 species